UACGAAGGGGGCUAGCGUUGCUCGGAAUUACUGGGCGUAAAGGGCGCGUAGGCGGCCUUCUAAGUCGAACGUGAAAUCCCCGGGCUCAACCCGGGAACUGCGUCCGAUACUGGAAGGCUUGAAUCCGGGAGAGGGAUGCGGAAUUCCAGGUGUAGCGGUGAAAUGCGUAGAUAUGUGGAGGAACACCGAUGGCGAAGGCAGCCUUCUGGGCCAACACUGACGCUCAUGCACGAAAGCGUGGGGAGCAAACAGG
rnacentral:rRNA from 1 species